rnacentral:lncRNA from 1 species
CGUAACCCCAAGGAGGAUGAGAAGAACCACCCCAAGUACGUAGUCCCUCGAGUCACAGAAUUUCAAGCGCGCGAAUGGCCAAGUGAUGAAUUUUUGCGCGCCGCUGGGCUUUACGAAGACUUUUAUUACUUGGUGGAGAAUGCAGGUCUUACUACGUUCGUUGAAGAUAAGUGCUCGCAAUACCUCCUCCUCACCAAUAUUUUCGUUCAAAGCUUCAACUUUUAUCCGAGGAAGAAUCCUCCCAUGGUUGAGUUCAUGAUAUACGAUGUCCCCC